CCAGCCAAACGCCCUGGCAAUAUUUUUUCAAUUAAGGAUUUAAUGGCACGUAUGCCUGUGUUAACACAGAGCAAUGAAACCCAGCGGCCACAACAAUGUUUAACCGGAAACAGCUUCUUGGUGCGUCAAAGUAAAAGAGACCAAGAAUGUGGACCUAACUGCUACAUGCCCCGGGAAGCCCAAACAUUCAUUGGCGCUGGCCUGUGGAACUUUGUGCGGUGAUACAAACGGCCCGUAACUGCUUGAUGUGCUGACCCCUGGCACGAGUGGCCACCGAGCACUUGCUAGGGCGGCGUGUGGCAAACGGCGGACGCGCCCCAAAUCUAUAAAUCACCGACUACAUCUCUGCAGCCGGCCAUUUAUGGAAGAAUCAUUCCCAUUUCCCAGCUGGGGCCACUGAGGCCCGGAGAAGUGAUAAGACUUGAGAAGGUCGCCUAGGUGGUGACAAGCCCAGGAUGCGGGCCCAGUUCUUCCUGCCCUGAAGCCUGUACACUUAACCGUUCCCACAGGGGCUCCCCUACGCCUCUUCCUGUGCUGUCACCCGCGGAACGAGUGACGGCCCCUCUGAGCCCAGCCCUUCUCUCCUGUGCAGCUGAAGCAGCGGCUCCCAGGCCCUCCAGGCGUCCUGGUGUGGCCCUGCCCUUCCAUCUCCAACACCUCCCCUUCCCAGCAGCUGGGGGACGGAGCUCCGGAACCUACAGGCAGGUGCAGUGGGGAUGAGGCCGCAGGAAGGAGCCGGGAGGCGGGUGGGGCGAAGG